rnacentral:rRNA from 1 species
AAUAAAUGUUUUUUUUUCUAUAAAAGACAAGCUGAACCCAUCAGAAUUCAAGUUCUUAAACUUUUAUAGAACCACAAAUACUCUUCACAGGGGAACCAUGGUUCAAACAUUUAUU